rnacentral:rRNA from 1 species
GACGAACGCUGGCGGCGUGCUUAACACAUGCAAGUCGAACGGAAAGGCCCUGCUUUUGUGGGGUGCUCGAGUGGCGAACGGGUGAGUAACACGUGAGUAACCUGCCCUUGACUUUGGGAUAACUUCAGGAAACUGGGGCUAAUACCGGAUAGGAGCUCCUGCUGCAUGGUGGGGGUUGGAAAGUUUCGGCGGUUGGGGAUGGACUCGCGGCUUAUCAGCUUGUUGGUGGGGUAGUGGCUUACCAAGGCUUUGACGGGUAGCCGGCCUGAGAGGGUGACCGGCCACAUUGGGACUGAGAUACGGCCCAGACUCCUACGGGAGGCAGCAGUGGGGAAUAUUGCACAAGGGGCGGAAGCCUGAUGUAGCAACGCCGCGUGCGGGAUGACGGCCUUCGGGUGGUAAACCGCUUUCGCCUGUGACGAAGCGUGAGUGACGGUAAUGGGUAAAGAAGCACCGGCUAACUACGU